rnacentral:rRNA from 1 species
GAUGAACGCUGGCGGCGUGCUUAACACAUGCAAGUCGAACGGGAAACCUUUUACUGAAGCUUCGGCAGAUUUAGCUGGUUUCUAGUGGCGGACGGGUGAGUAACGCGUGGGUAACCUGCCUUAUACAGGGGGAUAACAGUCAGAAAUGACUGCUAAUACCGCAUAAGCGCACAGGAUCGCAUGGUCCGGUGUGAAAAACUCCGGUGGUAUAAGAUGGACCCGCGUUGGAUUAGCUUGUUGGUGGGGUAACGGCUCACCAAGGCGACGAUCCAUAGCCGGCAUGAGAGGGUGAACGGCCACAUUGGGACUGAGACACGGCCCAGACUCCUACGGGAGGCAGCAGUGGGGAAUAUUGCACAAUGGGGGAAACCCUGAUGCAGCGACGCCGCGUGAAGGAAGAAGUAUCUCGGUAUGUAAACUUCUAUCAGCAGGGAAGAUAGUGACGGUACCUGACUAAGAAGCCCCGGCUAACUACGUG